AAUAAACGCUGGCGGCGUGCCUAACACAUGCAAGUCGAGCGAGAAAGCUCCUUCGGGAGUUAGUAAAGCGGCGAACGGGUGAGCAACACGUGAGAAUCUACCCUUUAGUGAAGAAUACCCUCGAGAAAUCGAGGCUAAUACUGCAUACGUCCCUUCGGGGAAGAAAGAUGGCCUCUUUGCUAUCGCUAAAGGAUGAGCUUGCGUACUAUUAGCUAGUUGGCGGGGUAAAGGCCCACCAAGGCAAUGAUGGUUAACCGGCCUGAGAGGGUGUACGGUCACACUGGAACUUAGACACGGUCCAGACUCCUACGGGAGGCAGCAGUGAGGAAAUCUUGCGCAAUGGGCGAAAGCCUGACGCAGCGACGCCGCGUGGAGGAUGACGGUUUUCGGAUUGUAAACUCCUGUUAAGCGGGAAGAAAGCCUUGUUUCCAAUACAAGCAAGGUAUGACGGUACCGCUAGAGAAAGCACCGGCUAACUUCGUGCCAGCAGCCGCGGUAAGGUGCGCG
rnacentral:rRNA from 1 species